AUUAACCACUCAAACUUCAGGCACUAAGCAAAGUUCACUAAAUGGGAAGUUUUCCCCAGGAAGAACCUCAUUAUAAUUUUUUGUGUUGGUGCUUCAAGGAAAAGACUGCUAUGUGAUAAAAUGAUUUUGAUAUCAUAGAAGUUCAUUAAAAUAAGGAUUCUAUCUGUAAUGAGAUGGGGGUGCAUGACCCAUGGAAGUGCUGGAAGCAGGUGCUGAAGAAUACAUGAUGGCAAAGAGGGAAGAACAUAAAAUCAAAACUGAUGAUGACCUCAUCAACCAGACAAACUGUCUCCUGAAACUGGGAGAACGCAACCAUCAGUAAGAAUGAGAAAAAGGCAAAAGCAAGAAGCAUUCUCCCUAAGAACUGUGACAAGACAAGGAUUUCCACUCUCACAACUCCUAUUCAACAUAGUUCUAGAAGUCCUAGCCAGAGCAAUCAGGCAACAGAAAGAAGAGUCAUCCAAACAGGAAAAGCAGAAGUCAAAUUAUCUCUCUUCACUGAUGAUAUGAUUAUCUAGAAAAAUCUAAAACCCCACCAA
rnacentral:lncRNA from 10 species